AUGAAGAAAAUGGCGGGGAAGAGGGGUUUGAAGAUGAAGAAAUCGAUGGGGAAGGGGGUUCGACGAAGAGGAAAUCGACGGGAAAAUGUAGGUUCAGGGCUAGGGAAAUUGACAAGGAAGGAGGUUCGGGGAUGGGAUAACCGACGGGGAAAGGGGUUUCGAGAUAGGGAAAUCGAUGGGGAAAGGGGUUAGACGAUGAGGAAACCGACGGGGAAGGGACCAAAAACGAUAAGGAACGCCCCUAUCCGUUGAUGAAGAAACGUAGGCGAUAAUUAGGGUUUGAACCGACCGACGGUGAAGGGGCAAAAAACGACGAGAAAAACGGUCGAAAAUGAUGAGGAAUGUCGU
rnacentral:lncRNA from 1 species